rnacentral:rRNA from 1 species
AUUGAACGCUGGCGGCAUGCCUUACACAUGCAAGUCGAACGGUAACAGGGAGCUUGCUCCGCUGACGAGUGGCGAACGGGUGAGUAAUGUAUCGGAACGUACCUUUUAUUGGGGGAUAACGUAGCGAAAGUUACGCUAAUACCGCAUAUUCUCUGAGGAGGAAAGCAGGGGACCUACGGGCCUUGCGCUAAUAGAUCGGCCGAUAUCAGGUUAGCUAGUUGGUGAGGUAAAGGCCCACCAAGGCGACGAUCUGUAGCGGGUCUGAGAGGAUGAUCCGCCACACUGGAACUGAGACACGGUCCAGACUCCUAUGGGAGGCAGCAGUGGGGAAUUUUGGGCAAUGGGGGCAACCCUGAUCCAGCCAUGCCGCGUGAGUGAAGAAGGCCUUCGGGUUGUAAAGCUCUUUCGGCCGGGAAAAAAUCGCAUGGGUUAAUACCCUGUGUGGAUGACGGUACCGGAAGAAUAAGGACCGGCUAACUACGUGCCAGCCGCCGCCGUAA